AUUGGGCCAAAUAUAGUCAUCAUCUAUCACAAAUCCAUGAUACAUCCUGUUUUAUCAGUACAUUACAUACACAUUACAAUAUAUCCAUAGUCAUUAAAAUAGUCCCUGAUCAAAAAACCAAAAUAAAACUACAAAUCCAUAUGCUGAUAUGCAUGACACUCUCCAACUCCAAAAUCUUUUAGCAUAUCCAAACCUGCAAAAAUGCAAAAUACAAAAAAUAAUACUAGUGGUCAUACAACUUCAUGUACAGUAGGUUAUAGGUUUGUAUAUAUAAAGAUGAUCAAUGAUUAAAUUUCAAUAACAAAAUGUAUGCAAUAUAAAUCAUAAGACUAAAUACACAGUAGCCUAUUAGAGCGUGUUUUGCAAGCAAAAACGGUGGUACCCUACUUGGUUAAGUUCAUAAUGGCAAGGGUGCUCUGUAACACUUUCGACAAAACACAUAGCUCGUGUUUAACAUUUCAUGUCAGUUUGUAUAGGAGUCUGCAACUUGAGCCAACAGGUUGUAAUGUUGUAUAGCAUAUUCUGCAUAUUUUCUAAAUGCUUUUUAUUUAGAAAAUGAGCCAAACAGAAUAUCAAGACAAAUAAAUAUAUUGAAAAUGAGCCAAACAGUAUAAAUUAAUCAGCAGUGAUAUAACAGACUAUCAUUAGAUGUCCAACCAGUCACAGAUCACACUAAGAAGGUAAUGUACUGUACUUACCCAAUGGAAGCCUACACAUCUCAAUCAUGCAUGUGUUGUAGUUGGUGUUGUUGCUGCUGUUCCAGCUGCUGAAGUUGUUGGCGCGAACGUUUCUAAAUGAAAAAAAUCUGAUUUAGCCAUAGUUACGAUUGUAAUUGUACGCAACAUAAAUAUAUACUACAUUUAAUAGUUACCUGCAUCAAUUGCAUCGAAUUGCUCUAUUUCCUCCAUUGAAGCUUGAAGAUCUAUCUUUGGCCUUGCUCGAAGCCAAUUUUGAGCGCAAAUGAGAGCCUCCACUGU
rnacentral:lncRNA from 1 species